GAGAUGCCGCUCCGUGACUGGAGGACGUGCAAGUUCCUUUACAUUCUCCUCCCAAUCUUUAAUUUGCUAACCCCUGCAGGUGCAUCAUGCCUCCCCUCUUCCGUUGAGGGGAUGCAGUUCGUCAAUGGAGAAGCAGUUCCACAUAUCACACUAAUAUCUACUUUCUUACAGAGAUGGCAGUGCCGGUUCACGGAAUCACGCAAUCGCGUGGAUCAUGUUUCCAGUUCAUACUGGAGGGGGUCAUCCCUCAGUCUUCACAAAUCUCCCGAAGGCCAGCGCUUUCGAGGAUAUCUCCUCUUGUAGCACGGCUUAAAACUAGCCUUCCUAAUCCCAGCACUUAUCACCUGUCUAGAACUAACACUUGUCUGUGUAAAACUCACUGAUGCACUUUUCGUUAUUGCGCUCUACCUUCUAAAUUGUUUUUAAUUGCACUGGCAUUGUGGGAGAAUUGUUUUAGCUUUAACCUGUUUGCUGUCACGUUGGUCUAGGUUGCCCUAGAUGCUGGUUGCCCAGCUCACUGUCCAGGUUGCCUUGGUC